GGCGAAUAACCAAUCCAAUAAGUCUUUCUGGCUGGAUCUCCCCCAAUAGACUCCUUUUUGUAGGUGUCCCCGAGAAUGCCAGUCAUAAGCAUAAGAAAGCUCGAUCGGGGGUGGCUUUCCUUUCUUUAGGAACCUAUUUCCUCUGUCGAUAGAGCUAAAGCAGUCAUUCAUUAAUCCACCCUCCCAUGAACUGAAAACUGACCCACUCACACUCCUUUUGAGGGCUUCGGGAAUAAGUAUCAUACUGAGUCAACGAUCAGGG
rnacentral:lncRNA from 1 species